UGCGACCCGAACCUGGACGGAACCCGACGCCGACCUCGCCGGAACCAUGUCUUCCGGCAGAUACAUGGCGUACUCCCCUUCUCCUUCGACCGCCCCCCACUCCCCUCACAUCACCGGCAUACGUUCCGCCACCAACGCCAUCGCCGAGAAGGAGAAGUAUCUGUCGGAGUUGCUGGCAGAGCGUCACAAGCUGAGCCCUUUUACGCCUGUGCUUCCACACAGUUAUCGGCUGCUGAACCAGGGUGAGCUUAGAAGAUAGAACCAAAGUUGUAUCUCAAUGUUUAUCAUUAUGUACCUAGUGAACCAAGAUGCAUGAUUUUUCAUGUUUUUUUUGCAUAAUAAUGCUUGCAACCA